UAUAUCUAAUAGAGCAGACACAAGGAAUAGAUCAAAGUACCCAUUCACCGGAAAAUGUUCUGUGCCCUCCGCCCGUGAGGUACAUUCCCUGAUAUUGGGCUCCUCAAUUUCAGACAGUGCCUAACCAGCACUAUUUAUAGUUUCAUUUAGUUCGGUUUCAGAAAAAAAAAAAAAAAAAAAAGAAAGAAAGAAAAAGAAAAAAAAAAAAUCUCCUUUUCCCCCCUCAGAAAGGAGUGUGGUGGAGUAUCUUAAUGCACAAAGGUGUCCCCUGGCGUCUCCAGUUAUCCCUAUCAGCACAGACCCCCCUCGUCUUUCACCACCAUGCCUGCACUGUUCCCUGUUGCCGUGGCAACCCUACGGCCAGGCCUCUCUCUCUGGAUACACAGGGACUCCUGUUCUUGCCCCCGAGCAGCUGAAGAAGGACUCGCUAAGGUUGCAGAGAAAAAGGUACAUGCUUGUCCUUGUCAUCGCUUCCCCGGUGAGACGCUGGCAUAUCAGCGAGCCGAAUAAAGCCUUUACAAAUAUAGAUUCGGCCGUAUAGCGCGCCGCAUAUACUGCAUGAAAACCAGUAAAGGUCAGAUGCUGCCGAGGAGCAACACCUCUGGGUUUUAGAUCAGCUGUACCACUCUUCUCAGAGUAGGAAAAGAAGCAGAAGAAGAAGAAGAAGAAGAAGAAAAAGAAGGAAAAAGAAAUGGGAGAGGUAUAGGAGAAGGGAAAUGAGAGGAAAAAACGAGAUGGGGAAGGAAAAGGACAGGGAAAAGGAGGAGGAAAGGCGGGGUAAGGAAAAGGAGAUGGGGAAGGAAAUGGAGAAGUAAAAGGGGACGAAAAUUGAGAUGGGCAAGGAAAAGGAGAAGGAAAAUGAGGAGAAAGGGGGGUAGGGAAAAUGAAAUGGGGAAGGAAAAGGGGAAGGAAAAUGAAGAUAAAAAGUGGGGGAAGGAAAAGGAGAUGGGGAUGGAAAUGGAGAAGGAAAAGGUAAAGGAAAACGAGGAGAAAAGGCGGGGUAAGGAAAAUGCGAUGGGAAAAGACAUGGAGAGGGAAAAAGGGAAGGAAAAAGAGAUGGGAAAGGAAAAGGAGAAGGAAAAUGACGAGAAAAGGCGGGGUAAGGAAAAUUAGAUGGGGAAGGAGAUGGAGAAGGAAAAGGAAAAGGAAAAUAAGGAGAAAAGGGGGGUAAGGAAAAGGAGAAUAUGAAGAAGCAAAAAGAGAUGGAAAAGGAAAAGGAGAAUAAUUACAGCUUGCACAAUUAAAUAAAAAAUCCUGAAGACCUCUCCCAGUUUCCUCUCAUGUGGCCAUGGCUUCUGCUUUUGCGGUUGCAGAACAACUAGUUUUGUUUCCACUUUGUUUAUUAAAGCCACGUUCAACACUCUGUAGCUUUUACUGUCAACUUCUGACCAACCAACACUUUUCUGUCACUCCGAACCAGUUGAUGGAAAUUCAACUAAAUCACAUUUUUCCUUUCAUCAAAGGUCCACUUUGCUUUACAGUUGGAUGAAAAUGGUUACUGAUGCGCCGUGUCAUUUUAGGAACAGAUUAGUGUCCAUGAUAAUAAAGUGUGACGGAGA